rnacentral:rRNA from 1 species
CCUACGGGAGGCAGCAGUGAGGAAUAUUGGUCAAUGGGCGGGAGCCUGAACCAGCCAAGCCGCGUGAGGGAAGAAGGUACAGCGUAUCGUAAACCUCUUUUGUCAGGGAACAAAGGCGGGGACUAGUCCCCGGAUGAGGGUACCUGAAGAAAAAGCAUCGGCUAACUCCGUGCCAGCAGCCGCGGUAAUACGGAGGAUGCGAGCGUUAUCCGGAUUUAUUGGGUUAAAAGGGUGCGCAGGCGGCCUGUUAAGUCAGCGGUAAAAGCCCGGGGAUCAACCCCGGCGAGCCGUUGAAACUGGCGGGCUUGAGUUGGAGAGAAGUACGCGGAAUGCGCGGUGUAGCGGUGAAAUGCUUAGAUAUCGCGCAGAACCCCGAUUGCGAAGGCAGCGUACCGGCUCCACACUGACGCUGAGGCACGAAAGCGUGGGUAUCGAACAGGAUUAGAUACCCCAGUAGUC